rnacentral:rRNA from 1 species
UGGGGGAUAUUGCACAAUGGGCGAAAGCCUGAUGCAGCGACGCCGCGUGGGGGAUGAAGGCUUUCGGGUUGUAAACCUCUUUCGCUAUCGAACAAGGCCCGCUUAGGGUGGGUUGAGGGUAGGUGGAGAAGAAGCGCCGGCUAACUACGUGCCAGCAGCCGCGGUAAUACGUAGGGCGCGAGCGUUGUCCGUAAUUAUUGGGCGUAAAGGGCUUGUAGGCGGCUUGUUGCGCCUGCUGUGAAAACGCGGGGCUUAACUUCGCGCGUGCAGUGGGUACGGGCAGGCUUGAGUGUGGUAGGGGUGACUGGAAUUCCAGGUGUAGCGGUGGAAUGCGCAGAUAUCUGGAGGAACACCGAUGGCGAAGGCAGGUCACUGGGCCAUUACUGACGCUGAGGAGCGAAAGCAUGGGUAGCGAACAGG